rnacentral:tRNA from 1 species
GGGGGCGUAGUUCAACUGGUUAGAGCGCCGGCCUGUCACGUCGGAGGUUGCGGGUUCGAUCCCCGUCGCUCCCGCCA